CCCUAUGGGGUGCACCAUGUACGUCGUUCCUUUCAUCAUGGGUGUUCCCGGUUCGCCUUUCAGCAAGAUCGGCAUCGAACUGACUGACAGCAUCUAUGUAGUCUUGAACAUGCGCAUUAUGACCAGAAUGGGUCAGGUUGCGAUGGACGAACUAGGCGACUCUUCUGAUUUCACGAGGUGCCUGCACUCGAAGCACGAACUCGAUAUCGAUCGCCGGUUCAUAUGCCAGUUCCCCGAGGACAACACCAUCUGGAGCAUCGGCUCGGGUUACGGUGGAAAUGUACUUCUCGGUAAGAAGUGUCUUGCCUUGCGCAUAGCGAGCAAUCUAGGUCACAAAGAAGGCUGGAUGGCGGAGCACAUGCUCAUCCUCGGUCUUCAGAAUCCUCAGGGAGGGC
rnacentral:rRNA from 1 species